rnacentral:lncRNA from 10 species
GCCGGAAGUGACGCAGGGCAGCGGCGUCGCGGGGGCGGGGCUCGGGAAAGACCCGUGCCAGCGGGCGUGUGGCCGCGGGUUUCGCACGGUCCAAUAAGGGAGGGCGGCGUGGCCCGGCCUGGUAGCGACGAGGACGCGCCUGCGCAGAGGCGGCAGCACCACCGGGGUUGACUCCGGGGGCGCGGCGAGGAGGUGAGCGGGGGCCACAGCCCGGGCUGGGGGGAGCCGGGGUGCAAGAGGGCAGGCUGGAUCAGGCCGGGCAGAAGCGGACCGGGCUCCGAGUGUCAACGAGAGCUAGGGUAUGGAGAGCGGGGAGCUCCCCCAAAGAUUCCAGGUGGUGCAACCCUGGUGUUCGAGGUGGAGCUGCUCAAAAUAGAGCGACGAACUGAGCUGUAACCAGACUGGGGAGGGGCAGGGGGAGAGGCCCCCAUCAGGGACCAGACUGUUCCAAAAAAAAAACAAAAAACAAAAACAAACAAAAAAACACUUAAAAGCCCAAGG